rnacentral:lncRNA from 10 species
CCACCACGCCUGGCUAACUUUUGUGUUGUUUAGUAGAGACGGGGUUUCAUCAUGUUGGCCAGGCUGGUCUCGAACUCCUGACCUCAAAUGACCCAUCUCUGCCGCCCAGAGUUCUGGGAUUACAGGCCUGAGCCACCGCGCCCGGAUCCAAGGCCCUUAAGCUUAAAUGCCUCGUUCUUCAGUCAGGUUUUCCUUGUUCCCGCAUGUUCAGCCAAUCGUGUUUAAGGAGAAACUAACAAUGAAAACGGACUCGUUGAUGGAGGAAAAGUUGGAAUGCAGCCUCUGGUGCUGUUUGAGCGAUCCCUCUAUCCCGGGUCGCUGCUGUGUUCUGGAAAGGCGCAUUGUACCCUGGAUGCAGCAGGAAUCCUAUUCAUCUUCUUCACCGAUAAGGUCUGUGGACUCUGAUGAGCCAAAUCUGACAUCAGUUCUGGAACGUCUAGAAGAUACUAAGGACAACA